rnacentral:lncRNA from 1 species
GCAAAAGUAUCUUAUUGGGGAUCCUUGUGUAUCUGAGGUCUUUCAGGGCAAGUCUGCAUAGGCUGAAUAGGAGCCAAAGCAGCAGCCUUCCAAAGGUAGGAUUACCUGGCUUUUGCUUUUCUUUAGAAUUUCUGACCAUCCUAGAUGUUUAAUACUCUUGGAGGUAAAUGAUGUUUAAAUCACUUCUAGAACAAUAUCCUGAGAGAGACAGUAGAUAGCCUAACUUAUUUGCUAUGGGGGCCAUAGAGUAUGUUUGACAACAGGGUAACUGAAUCUCUCUUGUGUUAUGGGAUAUUGAAGAAAACCAUCCCUCAAAGAGAGGAAACAGACAAAUCUCAUUACACAGGUAAAAUCUACUUGCAGUAAUAUUUAAAUGAUAUUUUAAAUCGCAUAUUGUAUAUUAAAUAUAAUAAUUUGCUAAAAAUGUACAUCUAGAACUAAAUACUGCUUCUAAUUAUUUUUACAAAAAACACUGGUGUUAAAGAUUCAUUUUAAUUUAACAAAUGUUAUAGUUAAAUUAAUAAUGUAAACAGUUUUCUUGGAGGUUUUUUUUUUUUGUAAUGUUGCUAAGUAUAACUAUGAAC